GGAGCAGGCCGGGCAGUCGCGGCGCGCGAGCGUCGAGGAAAGUCCGGGCUCCGCAGGGCAGGGUGCUGGGUAACACCCAGCGGGGGCGACCCCAGGGAUAGUGCCACAGAAACAUACCGCCGGCCGGCUUGCCGACCGGUAAGGGUGCAAUGGCGGGGUAAGAGCCCGCCGGCGGUCCGGUGACGGACCGGCCGAGCAAACCCCACCCGGAGCAAGACCAGAUAGGGGGAGAUGAGGCUGCCCGCUGAUCCCCGGGUAGGUCGCUCGAGGUCCCGGGUAACCGGUGACCCCAGAGGGAUGACGGCCGCGCCGGUUGAUGCCGCCAGGCGUCCCGGCGCACAGAACCCGGCUUACAGGCCUGCUCCCCGG
rnacentral:RNase_P_RNA from 1 species